rnacentral:rRNA from 1 species
UGGGGAAUAUUGGACAAUGGGCGCAAGCCUGAUCCAGCCAUGCCGCGUGAGUGAUGAAGGCCUUAGGGUUGUAAAGCUCUUUCGCCGAGGACGAUAAUGACGGUACUCGGAUAAGAAGCCCCGGCUAACUUCGUGCCAGCAGCCGCGGUAAUACGAAGGGGGCUAGCGUUGUUCGGAAUUACUGGGCGUAAAGCGUAUGCAGGCGGAUCUCUAAGUCGGGGGUGAAAUCCUGAGGCUCAACCUCAGAACUGCCUUCGAUACUGGAGAUCUUGAGUCCGGGAGAGGUGAGUGGAACUGCGAGUGUAGAGGUGAAAUUCGUAGAUAUUCGCAAGAACACCAGUGGCGAAGGCGGCUCACUGGCCCGGUACUGACGCUGAGAUACGAAAGCGUGGGGAGCAAACAGGAUUAGAUACCCCCGUAGUCC